CUCUGAAAGAAAAACACAUUUAUUGCUACUUAGAGAGAAUUGAUCUAAUUGGGACGGAAACAUUGUGCUGAUGGAACAUGGAAUUUUUAUGAGGUGGGUGACUCAAGUUCAGCUAAGCCUGACACACAUCCCCGGAGUCCUUUACUUCCGAGUUCCACCAGCUCUUGUCCUAAUGAAGAAGACCCCAAGCCUGCAAUAAACAGUCCUGUGCUUCUGUGAAGAUCUCCCGGGUAAAAGGGAAGCUUUCUUUGCAAGAGUUUCACUGGGAUGGACAGACAGAUGGACUCGGUGUGGCUGGGCCUUUGAUAGCCAAGAACACAAGAUUUGACUUCAGGGGGCUCAGAAACUUCAUCAGCCAAGGAGGAGGACAGAGAGUGUGGGAAGGAUCCUGCUGGAACAACCCUUUGAAACCCUGCCCCCCAAUGAUGUUUGAUGUGUGCCUUGUUGCUUUUUA